ensembl:lncRNA
AAUCAGCCAAUCCUUCUCUGUGCUGUUCCUGAAGUUCUGUUCCUGACUGAAUUGCAGUGAGAAAGACAGGGACACCGGCAUGGAUCAAACCAGCAGUCGGCUGUCGUCCCAGCGAGGGCUCCAGUGUCUGUCU